ACACGUAUGAAAGUCAAGCUGAAAGACUUUACUCAAUGAUGUAAGUGGUGGUGCAUGGUCGUUCGUAGUUCGUGGAUUGAUUUGUCUGGUCUAUUCCGAUAACGAGCGAGACCCCAACGUUCCUAAUAGGGGCUUCAGCCCGGCCGGUCGCAAGACUGGUUAGCUGUUGCUUAGGUUUGCUUCUUAGACGUAUCAGAGCCGAUAAGGUUCUUGAAAUGGGUUAAUAACAGGUCAGUCAUGCCCUUAGAUGUUCUGGGCCGCACGCGCGUUACAAUGGCAUGAAAAGAAAGUGCUUCAAAAGGCGUUUCCGGGGCCGAAAGGUCCUGGUAACCCUUAAUCCCUGCCUUGACUGGGAUAGAUCUUUGCAAUUAUUGGUCUCUAACGAGGAAUUUUUAGUAAUCGUAGGUCAUUAACCUGCGAUGA
rnacentral:rRNA from 1 species